GAUGAACGCUAGCUACAGGCUUAACACAUGCAAGUCGAGGGGUAACGAGAGGAAAGCUUGCUUUCCUUGUUGACGACCGGCGCACGGGUGAGUAACGCGUAUCCAACCUGCCCCCAACUAGGGAAUAACCUUGCGAAAGUAAGACUAAUACCCUAUAAUUUCCUCAGAUGUCAUCUGACGAGGAAUAAAGAUUUAUCGGUUGUGGAUGGGGAUGCGUCUGAUUAGCUUGUUGGCGGGGUAACGGCCCACCAAGGCAACGAUCUGUAGGGGUUCUGAGAGGAAGGGCCCCCACAUUGGAACUGAGACACGGUCCAAACUCCUACGGGAGGCAGCAGUGAGGAAUAUUGGUCAAUGGGCGGAAGCCUGAACCAGCCAAGUAGCGUGCAGGAUGACGGCCCUAUGGGUUGUAAACUGCUUUUAUACAGGAAUAAAGUUAGCCACGUGUGGUUAUUUGUAGGUACUGUAUGAAUAAGGACCGGCUAAUUCCGUGCCAGCAGCCGCCGCCG
rnacentral:rRNA from 1 species